UGGAGAAUAAUCGAGAAACUAUCGAUCCUUUAGCAGGAAUGGAACUUACGGUUCGCUGAUACGCGAAAAUAAAUAUGAAAAAAAUAUGAUAUGCGAAAAUUAAUUGCAUAUUGAAAGUUAAGUGCAUAUUCUCUUGAUUAAUACAUUUGUGUAUUAUCAUACCUAUGAAGCAGAGCUGAAUUCAUUGGUCAUUUUUAAACGGCCCUGUUUUCGCACACUUUAUUUUUCCUUUCAUAUCGUCUUCUGUUUCGAAGAUGUAUUAACGAUGCAUUCUAAAAUCGUGAUUUUCAUUUAAACAUGCAGAAAAAGGUUAUAGAUAUACAUACUUAAUUGUUAUAUAUGAAACGGAUAAAACAUGCAAUAAACUUGGCAAUUCAACCAGUUCCAUUUCUUAUCUACCCUAAAUAAUUGGAUUCUUGUAUACAAAAAAAAUCAGACUACAUCUCUGUUUGCAAAAUCUCCGUUCUUUUUCUGGGUUAAACAAUUAACCAAUUCAACAAUAAUCAUGUUAUUUUCGCGUUUCUUAAUCUUCAGUAUGUGUUGAAGCUUUUCCGUGGUUGCCAUAUUUGUGGAGGACUUCUGUGCUGCUUGAAUCAGGACAAUCAACAUAACCCAAGCGUAUAUGCAAACGAAAAGCACUCUUCUGAAGAAUGAAAUAAUAGAUCUCCCAAGGGAAGAACUAUUUUGCUGACUUCUUCGUAAAGUUUCCUCGAUACCAUUGCCUCGCCAGUUCUUUCGUCAAAUUUGAUGGCAAGAUUUUGUUCUUCAGCAGCAUCAGUCUCAUCGCCGGCAACAGGAGUAAGAAAAGUAAAAUGAAAUAUUCUUAAGAAUGAAGAUUGCCAAAAAAUUGUCAAAUUGGGGAAGGCGAUCCACGUGGUGAUGAUCCAUCUGGUGAUGGCCUAUCUGGGGAUGAUCCAUCUGGUGAUGAUCCAUUUGGUGAUGAUCCAUCUGGUGA